rnacentral:lncRNA from 1 species
CCUGAACAAAGUUGAAUAUUGCAAUUGUACAUGAUGCAAACACUGGAAGUCUGUGUUUACAUUUGUGUUUCCAACUGAAUAUGCUAAUAGUGUUUAAUCAGCAGUGAUGUGGCUUUGCUCAAUGUUUUGUGCAGCAUACAGCCUCAGUGAUAAGGUUGUGAUAACCAAAUUUUUCCACACAUCAAAAUUUGGAGACAAUCCGAGUUUUGGGAACAGCCUUUUGCUUUCAAAAUAUGAUGAAAACCUUUAAUCUUUCUAAGGAUUAUUUCUCCGUUUUCAAGGAAGCAUUAACUAUCCCCUUUGAUUCCUUAAGGGGUGAGGAGGGAGGACUUAACAGAUUUACUCUUGCAGCAGUCUAGAAGGUUUACCAUUGCAAACCAGCUCACAGGCUGGCCGAAGACCGUGCAGCAGAAGUUCCACAGUGAUGCUGUGACGCAAGGGUUGCAGCCUGCCAGGAGUUUGAUGUGUCUAUCGUCUGUGGAAGAUCCCAGCAACAUACUGGAGAGAACAACACAACCAGAAGCAGAGGAGUGCCAAGGGCGUGGGAAAUGAGUAACAUUCGCUCAUGAGUUUCCAAAAGAUUUCCAACCUUCUAUUUAGCUGAAGGAAGGACAGAGCUCACACAAGGCUUGAUGAGCUUCUCACCUUGGGCAAAAGGAUUACUUCACAGAGAAAGGAGCGUACUAUUAAAACACAAACACACAUCUCCCCUCAAGAAAAAAAUGCACAGGAGACACAGCUGGGCAACACCAACAACUGAGCUGCAAGUUGGAAAAGGUGGAAGAGUGAGAGGAACAGGCAGGCUUGACUUCAAGCUGUGCCAUUUGCAUUUGGUUCCCAAGCUGGCUCCCUGUCAGUUCUGCCCACUGCCCCCUGCUCAGCCUGGGUAAGCAUCUGUUUUGGUUAUACUCUGUCCGUCAAAGACACUGGACAUUGAACACAGGAGUACUGUGGAGAUUUUUCUUUAUUGAUGUAUUUCAGUUUUGUUGGAAUGAAACUGACCCCUCAGGUCAAGGGAGGGAAAGGGCACUCUGGGGUGGACAAGGAUGAAUUUAAGGGGGGCGGCUGAGUUUGUUAUUUGCGAUGUAGAAUUAAUACACCAGAUUGUUUGACUAUUCUGUUAAAGUGGGCUUCUGGCACCGGGAAUCUCUACAACUGCUUUCCCCAUCAGACUGUUUUAGCUAUGCAUAGCAUAGUUGCUUAAAUAUUUGAUAAAAAUAGCUGAAGAACAAAAAUAUUGAUGUAGGAUUUAAUUAAACAGCUACCAGCACUCCAUGAGAAGAUACACUUAGAAAGCUCUCUGAAUAUAGAUAAUGCCAGAUAGAUAGAUAGACAGACAGAUGAUUGAGGGUGAGGCAAACCAAAUAAAUAUCAUAUUCAUGAUGGUAGACUAUAUUGA